AGGAAUGAAAUAAGUGCGAUAAGUAAAUAAUAAGGAAUGAACGCACCGAUGUUAUCCUGGUACACAACACCCCGUGGCUAGUCCAGUCCCCGAGAGACUCUCUGGAGAUCUCCACUAACUUCGUUAAGCUUACGGGUGCUUAACAAACCAUUACAAACUGAGAACUUGAGUCACACAAGCCUCAACAACCUUUGCUCGAAG
rnacentral:lncRNA from 1 species